UGAGCAAUCUGCCCUUCUCAUCGGGAAAUAAGCGUUGGAAACGACGUCUAAUGCCGAAUACGACCUCCUUUCACAUGAUCGGAGGUGGAAAGCUCCGGCGGAGAAGGAUGAGCUCGCGGCCUAUCAGCUAGUUGGUGUGGGUAACGGCCCACCAAGGCGACGACGGGUAGCCGG
rnacentral:rRNA from 1 species